rnacentral:rRNA from 1 species
AUGAAGGAUAUGUCGAGUUCAUCAAAUCAGGAGAUACCUACUCCAUCUAGUGAGGAAUUCACUGUAAUUCCUGAACCCACCAUUGCGAUGGAACAAGUUGAGAUUCCUGUUGAGGGUGACAAUGGAACUCCUGUGAGGAGUAAGAGACAGAGGACUGCAAAGUCCUUUGGUGAUGAUUUCAUUGUGUACCUCGUGGAUGACACACCCAGGACUAUUUCAGAAGCCUAUGCAUCUCCUGACGCUGACUACUGGCCGGAAGCUGUAUGUAGCAAGAUGGAUUCCAUCUUAGCUAACGGUACCUAG